rfam:Triticum aestivum genome assembly, contig: Triticum_aestivum_CS42_TGACv1_scaffold_513993_6BS
GAUGUACUCCCCCCAUCCCAAAAUUCUUGUCUUAAAUUUGUCUAAAUACGGAUGUAUCAAGUCACGUUUUAGUUCACCGUAUCUAGACAAAUCUAAUACAAGAAUUUCGGGACGGAGGGAGUAUAUA